UUUUGAAGGAAGGGACGGUUUAGCUCUGUCACAAUAUAGAUUCCAAUAAAGAUUGCUUAAGCAGCUUUGGCUUUAGAUUCCAAUAAAGAUUGCUUAAGCAGGUUUGGCUUGUGACACUGGUCAAGUAAAGAAUAAGAGGAGCCACGUAGGCUCAAAAGACAGGGAAAUGGGUAAGGAACGUGCUUAACGUGAUUAUCCUCCUAAGGUGUGCCUAUAGGUUGGCAAUUGGUGAUUGGUGGAAGGAAGGUGUACCUAUAGGUUGGCAAUUGGUGAUUGGUGGAAGGAAGGUGUACCUAUAGGUUGGCAAUUGCUGAUUGGUGGAGAAAUGUGUACCUACAGUAUAAGAAUGCCUGCCAAAUGCCAUGUAUUUACAGCCAGUGUAUUUUCAGGAGCUAUCCAACUGGUUGUCUCUGUGUACAAAAUGUCUUUGUACACAGAUUUCAAUAAACUCUUUUUCUCCAAAGAAGAUUUUGCUUUCCUGGUACUUUUGUUCCCUCCAAGGUCCGGGGAUGGCGUGGCUGAUGGAUCCCUAGGUAAAUAAGGCUUCAUUUCU